rnacentral:rRNA from 1 species
AGUGAACGCUGGCGGUAGGCCUAACACAUGCAAGUCGAACGGCAGCACAGUAAGAGCUUGCUCUUACGGGUGGCGAGUGGCGGACGGGUGAGGAAUACAUCGGAAUCUACUUUUUCGUGGGGGAUAACGUAGGGAAACUUACGCUAAUACCGCAUACGACCUACGGGUGAAAGCAGUGGAUCUUCGGACCUUUCGCGAUUGAAUGAGCCGAUGUCGGAUUAGCUAGUUGGCGGGGUAAAGGCCCACCAAGGCGACGAUCCGUAGCUGGUCUGAGAGGAUGAUCAGCCACACUGGAACUGAGACACGGUCCAGACUCCUACGGGAGGCAGCAGUGGGGAAUAUUGGACAAUGGGCGCAAGCCUGAUCCAGCCAUACCGCGUGGGUGAAGAAGGCCUUCGGGUUGUAAAGCCCUUUUGUUGGGAAAGAAAAGCAGCAGGUUAAUACCCCGAUGUUCUGACGGUACCCAAAGAAUAAGCACCGGCUAACUUCGUG